CUGUACUUUCAGGGAUCAUUUCUAUAGUUUGUUA
rnacentral:snRNA from 1 species